rnacentral:rRNA from 1 species
AAAUUGAAGAGUUUGAUCAUGGCUCAGAUUGAACGCUGGCGGCAGGCCUAACACAUGCAAGUCGAACGGUAACAGGAAGCAGCUUGCUGCUUUGCUGACGAGUGGCGGACGGGUGAGUAAUGUCUGGGAAACUGCCUGAUGGAGGGGGAUAACUACUGGAAACGGUGGCUAAUACCGCAUAACGUCGCAAGACCAAAGAGGGGGACCUUCGGGCCUCUUGCCAUCAGAUGUGCCCAGAUGGGAUUAGCUUGUUGGUGAGGUAACGGCUCACCAAGGCGACGAUCCCUAGCUGGUCUGAGAGGAUGACCAGCCACACUGGAACUGAGACACGGUCCAGACUCCUACGGGAGGCAGCAGUGGGGAAUAUUGCACAAUGGGCGCAAGCCUGAUGCAGCCAUGCCGCGUGUAUGAAGAAGGCCUUCGGGUUGUAAAGUACUUUCAGCGGGGAGGAAGGUGUUGUGGUUAAUAACCGCAGCAAUUGACGUUACCCGCAGAAGAAGCACCGGCUAACUCCGUGCCAGCAGCCGCGGUAAUACGGAGGGUGCAAGCGUUAAUCGGAAUUACUGGGCGUAAAGCGCACGCAGGCGGUCUGUCAAGUCGGAUGUGAAAUCCCCGGGCUCAACCUGGGAACUGCAUUCGAAACUGGCAGGCUUGAGUCUUGUAGAGGGGGGUAGAAUUCCAGGUGUAGCGGUGAAAUGCGUAGAGAUCUGGAGGAAUACCGGUGGCGAAGGCGGCCCCCUGGACAAAGACUGACGCUCAGGUGCGAAAGCGUGGGGAGCAAACAGGAUUAAUACCCUGGUAGUCCACGCCGUAAACGAUGUCUACUUGGAGGUUGUGCCCUUGAGGCGUGGCUUCCGGAGCUAACGCGUUAAGUAGACCGCCUGGGGAGUACGGCCGCAAGGUUAAAACUCAAAUGAAUUGACGGGGGCCCGCACAAGCGGUGGAGCAUGUGGUUUAAUUCGAUGCAACGCGAAGAACCUUACCUGGUCUUGACAUCCACAGAAGAAUCCAGAGAUGGAUUUGUGCCUUCGGGAACUGUGAGACAGGUGCUGCAUGGCUGUCGUCAGCUCGUGUUGUGAAAUGUUGGGUUAAGUCCCGCAACGAGCGCAACCCUUAUCCUUUGUUGCCAGCGAUUAGGUCGGGAACUCAAAGGAGACUGCCAGUGAUAAACUGGAGGAAGGUGGGGAUGACGUCAAGUCAUCAUGGCCCUUACGACCAGGGCUACACACGUGCUACAAUGGCGCAUACAAAGAGAAGCGACCUCGCGAGAGCAAGCGGACCUCAUAAAGUGCGUCGUAGUCCGGAUUGGAGUCUGCAACUCGACUCCAUGAAGUCGGAAUCGCUAGUAAUCGUGGAUCAGAAUGCCACGGUGAAUACGUUCCCGGGCCUUGUACACACCGCCCGUCACACCAUGGGAGUGGGUUGCAAAAGAAGUAGGUAGCUUAACCUUCGGGAGGGCGCUUACCACUUUGUGAUUCAUGACUGGGGUGAAGUCGUAACAAGGUAACCGUAGGGGAACCUGCGGUUGGAUCACCUCCUUA